CUACGGGGGGCAGCAGUGAGGAAUUUUGCGCAAUGGGGGCAACCCUGACGCAGCAACGCCGCGUGAGUGAAGAAGGCCUUUGGGUCGUAAAACUCUGUCAAUGGGGAAGAAGUUACUAUGUUUAAAUAGAGUGUAGUAUUGACGGUACCCACGAAGGAAGCACCGGCUAACUCCGUGCCAGCAGCCGCGGUAAUACGGGGGGUGCAAGCGUUAUUCGGAAUUAUUGGGCGUAAAGGGCACGCAGGCGGUCUUGCCAGUCAGAUGUGAAAGCCCGGGGCUCAAACCUGGAAGUGCAUUUGAAACUACAAGACUUGAGUACGGUAGAGGAAAGGGGAAUUCCUGGUGUAGAGGUGAAAUUCGUAGAUAUCAGGAGGAACACCGGUGGCGAAGGCGCCUUUCUGGACCGAAACUGACGCUGAGGUGCGAAAGCGUGGGGAGCAAACAGGAUUAGAUACCCCAGUAGUC
rnacentral:rRNA from 1 species